AGAGGCAGAAACAGGGAAGGACAGAGACAGAAACAGGGAAGGACAGAGACAGAAACAGGGAAAGACAGAGACAGAAACAGGGAAGGACAGAGACAGAAACAGGGGAGAGCAGAGACAGAAACAGGGGAGGACAGAGACAGAAACAGGGGAGAACAGAGGCAGAAACAGGGAAGGACAGAGACCGAAACAGGGGAGGACAGAGACAGAAACAGGGGAGGACGGAGGCAGAAACAGGGGAGGACAGAGGCAGAAACAGGGAAGGACAGAGACAGAAACAGGGAAGACAGAGGCAGAAACAGGGAAGGACAGAGACAGAAACAGGGAAGGACAGAGACAGAAACAGG
rnacentral:lncRNA from 1 species